AUACCAUGAUGAGGGCACUUCCUUAACAGCUCUUUGAAUCUUUCCAAUGCACCAUACAACAAUUCCCCUUCAGUCUUCUAGAAAUCAUUAAUCUCCCCUCUCAACUU